ensembl:lncRNA
GUGAGAAGAAAUUCCUUUUUUCCUGCACUGAAUCUUCCACUUCUCUCCAAACCUGUGCUCUGCUCUGCUGCACUGUUCCUAGUGUGCCUUUCCGUAGGACUGGCUCCUGCCUGAGGCAAGCAGUCGUCUUUCAGCUGAAGCUUCAAGAAGAAAAAUUGCAUCAUCUUUGAAAGUGUGGGUGAAGUCAUGAGUAGCUGUGAAAGUGCCAUGCGCCUCACCUUCAGCCUUCCAGCUGCCUCUCCGCAGACAAGGAUAUACAGCUGUUCUGCCGUUUGCGGUGCUGUUCUGUCCUGCACAAUGGAGCUGCGUUGUCACGUCCUUAGAUCAGCCUGUUGCUGGAGGAGGAGUCUGGAGAAAUGUUCUGUGGGUGCUUCUCUGCAGCCGGCAGCCUGCGAUGGCUUGGGCUGUCCCUUCCAGACUGACGGUGCCCUGAGCUUCAGCRGAGAGCUGGCAGAAGGACCGGUGGCCAGAAGUUUAGGAUACAUCUGCAGUGCUAAGAGGAGGAGCGGCUGUGAUGUAUACCAGCGCCCUGAACUAACCAAAGUGAUGGGGRCCCUCAGUGUUCGGCGCGGCUGCCACCACGGACAGACGUGUCCCUUGGGUUCGCAAGCCAUGCCUUCGAGCGCCGUUCCCUCCUCGCGUCCUGGCAGCCCGGCCCUGCUCUGAGCUGCCGGUCGCCUUGUCGAGUUGCACAGUCGGUGCCAGUUUCCGCUACCCGAGGACCCCGUCUUUGGCCUUGCAGGGUGCCACCGGACCAGGCGUGAACUUGCUGUCCCUGUGCCACUGCUUGGAGACUCUUCUUGGCUCUUGCAGAGAAGCUCAUGCUGUUUCCGGGGGGUCUAGUUUUGUAUCUGGAAAAACUCAAAGUGUCCCAGGAACAGCUGGCAGAAGGUGAAUUGCUUCUGGUAGGCUUUGUAGUAAAAUACAACCGUGCUCAGUCUUUUCUCUGAUAAGAGUCUUCAGACCUGGACUUCCCUGGGUGUCACCGCUGGGUAGCUUUCUGCAAUUUGGGCUGUGCCAAGGAAGGCAGAAGAGAAAGGUUCCUCUGGGCAGUUUUAACAUGCAUGAUUUAUCAUCUCUUUGAAAUGAAAAGCCCAAUUAAUGGCUACAACGAAGGAAAAAUGUCAUAUAUUUCUAGCCCCUGAUCCUCUAGAGGUAAAAGCUUCUUAUC